rnacentral:lncRNA from 1 species
UUAUAAUCAAAGCUCUCACUAUGUGGCAGGCACUAUUAUAAGCAUGUCAAAUGUAUUGAUUCAUUUAAGCCUGUUGUACAGGCAGAUAAUACUAUUACUAUGAGAUGUUACAGAUGUGGCGACAGAAGCACAGACAGGUUAAGCCACUCACCUGUAGUCACACAGCUGGUAGGGGGUGGACCUACAGGUAGUUGGUGCUUGGUGGCUCCAGAGCUAACACUGACCAGCAUGGGGACAUUAUUGAAUUACUAUACAGUGAGACUUCCCUGCAGCCAUGGAAGCAUGUUGUUUCCAAACUUGGUCCAAGGAGAUAAGAAACCAGGAGAGAAGGGGAUGGAGAACUCACUUGGCUGGAUUUCAGGUGUCUGGCCCCUCCAGGAGCCCUUUAUGUUGAUUAUUUCAAGACAG